CAGCAAUGCCGCGUGAGUGAAGAAGGCCUUCGGGUUGUAAAGCUCUUUUGUCAGGGAAGAAACGGUAGAGGCUAAUAUCCUUUGCUAAUGACGGUACCUGAAGAAUAAGCACCGGCUAACUACGUGCCAGCAGCCGCGGUAAUACGUAGGGUGCAAGCGUUGUCCGGAAUUAUUGGGCGUAAAGAGCUCGUAGGCGGUUUGUCGCGUCUGCUGUGAAAACCCGAGGCUCAACCUCGGGCCUGCAGUGGGUACGGGCAGACUAGAGUGCGGUAGGGGAGAUUGGAAUUCCUGGUGUAGCGGUGGAAUGCGCAGAUAUCAGGAGGAACACCGGUGGCGAAGGCGGGUCUCUGGGCAGUAACUGACGCUGAGGAGCGAAAGCGUGGGGAGCGAACAGGAUUAGAUACCCUGGUAGUCCACGCCGUAAACGGUGGGCACUAGGUGUGGGGGACAUUCCACGUUCUCCGUGCCGAAGCUAACGCAUUAAGUGCCCCGCCUGGGGAGUACGGCCGCAAGGCUAAAACUCAAAG
rnacentral:rRNA from 1 species